rnacentral:rRNA from 1 species
ACGAACGCUGGCGGCGUGCUUAACACAUGCAAGUCGAACGGAAAGGCCCUGCUUUUGUGUGGUGCUCGAGUUGCGAACGCGUGAGUAACACGUUAUUUACCUUCCCUUUACUUUUGGUUAACUUCAUGAAACUUGGGCUAAUACCGGAUAGGAGCUCCUUCUUCAUGGUGGGGGUUGGAAAGUUUCGGCGGUUGGGGAUGGACUCGCGGCUUAUCAGCUUGUUGGUGGGGUAGUGGCUUACCAAGGCUUUGACGGGUAGCCGGCCUGAGAGGGUGACCGGCCACAUUGGGACUGAGAUACGGCCCAGACUCCUACGGGAGGCAGCAGUGGGGAAUAUUGCACAAUGGGCGGAAGCCUGAUGCAGCAACGCCGCGUGCGGGAUGACGGCCUUCGGGUUGUAAACCGCUUUCGCCUGUGACGAAGCGUGAGUGACGGUAAUGGGUAAAGAAGCACCGGCUAACUACGUG